rnacentral:sRNA from 2 species
UUUACAAACUGCAAAUAAUCUGCCAAAAUACCUAAUCGCGUAGGUCUGAAAAAUUCAGACCCAUUCUUAAAUAAAAAAAGAAUGUCCAAGCGUG